UGGGGAAUUUUGGACAAUGGGCGCAAGCCUGAUCCAGCCAUGCCGCGUGCGGGAAGAAGGCCUUCGGGUUGUAAACCGCUUUUGUCAGGGAAGAAAAGGUUCUGGCUAAUACCUGGGACUCAUGACGGUACCUGAAGAAUAAGCACCGGCUAACUACGUGCCAGCAUCCGCGGUAAUACGUAGGGUGCAAGCGUUAAUCGGAAUUACUGGGCGGAAAGCGUGCGCAGGCGGUUAUGCAAGACAGAGGUGAAAUCCCCGGGCUCAACCUGGGAACUGCCUUUGUGACUGCAUGGCUAGAGUACGGUAGAGGGGGAUGGAAUUCCGCGGGUAGCAGUGAAAUGCGUAGAUAGGCGGAGGAACACCGAUGGCGAAGGCAAUCCCCUGGACCUGUAAUGACGCUCAUGCAAGAAAGCAUGGGGAGCAAACAGG
rnacentral:rRNA from 1 species